GUUAUUAAAAACAUGGCUUGUUGAUGAUAAUUUCAAGUCUGGCCUGCCCACUGAUUGGUUAAAUGGCCGCGGUAUUUUGACCGUGCAAAGGUAGCAUAAUCACUAGUUUUUUAAUUGAAAGCUUGAAUGAAAGGUUUGAUGAAAAAAUAACUGUCUCUGGGAAAAUUUAUUAAAAUUUUAUUUUUAAGUAAGAAAGCUUAAAUAUAUGUAGAAGACGAGAAGACCCUAUAGAGUUUAAUUUAUGUUUUUGUUGGCUGAAUUUAGGAAGUUUCAUUUAGCCAAUAGGAGCAUGAAUUUAGUUGGGGUGACGGAAAAAUUUGGGUAACUUUUUUUAUAUAUUGAUAUUUAUUUGUAAGUUUAUGAUCCUAAAAUUUAGAUUAUAAGAUUAAAUUACCUUAGGGAUAACAGCGUAAUUUUUUCUAGAGUUCUUAUCGAAGAAAAAGUUUGCGACCUCGAUGUUGGAUUAAAAUUUGUUUUUGGUGUAGAAGCUAAUAAACUAGGUCUGUUCGACCUUUAAAAUUUUACAUGAUCUGAGUUUAGACCGGUGUGAGCCAGGUCGGUU
rnacentral:rRNA from 1 species